rnacentral:rRNA from 1 species
UACAGAGGGGGCAAGCGUUGUUCGGAAUUACUGGGCGUAAAGGGCGCGUAGGCGGCCCGCUAAGUCGAACGUGAAAUCCCCAGGCUCAACCUGGGAACUGCGUCCGAUACUGGCAGGCUUGAAUCCGGGAGAGGGAUGUGGAAUUCCAGGUGUAGCGGUGAAAUGCGUAGAUAUCUGGAGGAACACCUAUUGCGAAGGCAGCUCGCUGGGACGUAACUGACGCUGAGACGCGAAAGCGUGGGGAGCAAACAGG